UUAAAUGCGUUAAUUUUUCCCCCUUUCAUCUAAAAUCCCUAACAACCUCCGCUUUCACCGUGUUACCAAUCUAAAUUCCCAAGAAUCCUUUCUUCCACCAUGUUAAUUCACUGCAUCUCUUCAAUUCAAAGGCACACAAGAUCAUGUCUGUGUCGGUGAAAGAGGCCACGUGCCGAUGCUGAUACAUAUGUCAUCGCCGAGUUUAACCGGUAGCUCAUCAUCUACGAGGAACCACCGAAGUUAUCUCAGGAAUCCUCCGUCAUGAUUAAAUCGAAGCUUCAGGGGACUAAUAAUCAUCUAGAGCUAAUGGAGAAAAUGAAUGCAAAGGUUGCAGAAGAGUAUAAAGGGUUUGCUGAUUUGGCUUCAAGGUUAACGGUGUUUGUGGAGCAACUGAAAUGCGAGAGUGGUAACUAUGCUUGAUAAAUAUGUGGCUUUGUGGAGCAACUGAAAUGCAAGAGUGGUAACUAUGCUUGAUAAAUAUGUGGCUUUGUUGGAAUCAAAAGUGUAAUCUCAUUACCAAACCAAACGUCCAUCGUCCUAAAUAACAAAUAAUGUACGUAUUGAGGAAAUGCGUAGGACAAACAAGAAUAGUCUUGCCCAACAUUCUAAUUUACUUAUUUUACUCUCAACUUGUAUCAUUUUGCUAUACUUUAUACACUUAAUUUGGCUUUUGAUAUAGCUAAAAAUAGAACUUGAUCACAAUUGCGGCUGCAAUUGUCUGGAUUUUUUUAAUAUCAAGAUUUGUGAUGCGACUGCAACUGACCCUCCUCGGCGACUGCAACUAUUACUGUGAUCUCUAUGUAAGACCCUGCAACUGUUACUGCAAUCGCUAUGUAAGACCCUGUUCGGCGACUGCUACUGUUACUGCAAUCGCUAUGUAAGACCAUGCUCGUUAUAUCCUCCGCAGUGUCGAGUUAUCUUGUUGACCAGAUCCCAUGAUCACCCAUAGAACUAUACCAGCAGAUGCUUGCCAAGGCUCGAUGGAAAAUUACUUAUGCAGUCUCUUUACAAGGUUCUACUUUCUUUGUCAAAAACCUAUCCUAUUGUGCAAAAGUCGUUGUUAAAAUAUUCACAUAAUAAUGUAAG